UUUUUUUGUUAACAAAGAAUUAGUUUGGUAUUGAGAUGAAUCUAACGCUAUUAGGUAGAAUGGAGUUGAAAAAAAAUAUAAAGGAAUAUACUUCUACGUUCUUCGAUGAGACUGUAGAAAAUAUAUCGUAACCGACUAACCGCAAUAUGCUGAACGCAGUAUCACGUAGGAAACAAACAUGGUAUUUUCUCAUCGUCUUUUCUCAACGCAUAUAAUGCAACCUUCCCGUAAUCCCAAACAAAGCCAAAAUAAUACGUUAAUUAAACCGUCUUAAAUUUGUCUCAAUCGAUCACUCGAAAUUAUUCAAAUUUUGAAAUAUAAAUUUUAUUUUUUUCAUUAUUAACAAAAAAAAUAAAAAGAAACUAAAAUUACUGUUGUAAAAUAUAAUAUUUAUAA
rnacentral:lncRNA from 1 species